rnacentral:rRNA from 1 species
UUACCCGGGCCCGUUGUUACACACCGCCCGUCACACCAUGGAGUUGGUUUUACCUGAAGACGGUGCGCUAACCGAAAGGGGCAGCCGGCCACGGUAGGGUCAGCGACUGGGGUG